rnacentral:lncRNA from 1 species
ACACUCAUUGAUUAGCUUGAUGAAAGUUUGCAGCCAAAUAUAUGUUUUCCAUAUUUCUUUUUACGCAUACCGUUAACAGAGUUGAAUUCAUCAGGAGUCUGUUCCAGAAGGUUGAAAUUCAAUUGCUUACACCUUACAGUACAGAUCCCUCUUAGCCCCUUUCCAGAUCCAGUCCAUUGACUGAUAAGAACACUACAUAUACUUUUUGUUUUACAAUUUGAUGUAUCUGACUCUCUUUUAGUUAGUUAAAGGGAUAAAAGGUAAUUACUUCCAUUUGUAAUUGCAAGUUAAAUUCGUUCCUCUAUAGAUGAGUAGUUUGUUAAUAUUAUAACCUCUCAGAAUCAAAUUGUUUAGACGGUGACUUUGCAUAAUUCAAAUGCAAAUGGAAGAUUGUUGUUGCUAAAAUCACUACAUCUGGUCAAUUUCAUGUUUAUCUUCAUCUGCAUAGAUAGCUAUACCAUAUGUACUCAUAAAAAAAAACUUAUAUACCC